UUUAGUGGCGCACGGGUGCGUAACGCGUGGGAAUCUGCCCUUUGGUUCGGAAUAACAGCUGGAAACGGCUGCUAAUACCGGAUGAUGACGAAAGUCCAAAGAUUUAUCGCCAGAGGAUGAGCCCGCGUUGGAUUAGGUAGUUGGUGGGGUAAAGGCCUACCAAGCCGACGAUCCAUAGCUGGUCUGAGAGGAUGAUCAGCCACACUGGGACUGAGACACGGCCCAGACUCCUACGGGAGGCAGCAGUGGGGAAUAUUGGACAAUGGGCGAAAGCCUGAUCCAGCAAUGCCGCGUGAGUGAUGAAGGCCCUAGGGUUGUAAAGCUCUUUUACCCGGGAAGAUAAUGACUGUACCGGGAGAAUAAGCCCCGGCUAACUCCGUGCCAGCAGCCGCGGUAAUACGGAGGGGGCUAGCGUUGUUCGGAAUUACUGGGCGUAAAGCGCACGUAGGCGGCUUUGUAAGUCAGAGGUGAAAGCCUGGAGCUCAACUCCAGAACUGCCUUUGAGACUGCAUCGCUUGAAUCCAGGAGAGGUCAGUGGAAUUCCGAGUGUAGAGGUGAAAUUCGUAGAUAUUCGGAAGAACACCAGUGGCGAAGGCGGCUGACUGGACUGGUAUUGACGCUGAGGUGCGAAA
rnacentral:rRNA from 1 species